CAAGACAACUUUACGGAGUUGACGAUUGACGGAGCGAAGCGACGUCAAAGCGUUCAUUAAAGUCGAGUUGGCUUAGGGAUACGUUCGUUGGGUAGGGGAGCGUUCUGUAAGCCUGUGAAGGUGUGUCGUGAGGCAUGCUGGAGGUAUCAGAAGUGCGAAUGCUGACAUAAGUAACGAUAAAGCGGGUGAAAAGCCCGCUCGCCGGAAGACCAAGGGUUCCUGUCCAACGUUAAUCGGGGCAGGGUGAGUCGACCCCUAAGGCGAGGCCGAAAGGCGUAGUCGAUGGGAAACGGGUUAAUAUUCCCGUACUUGGUGUUACUGCGAAGGGGGGACGGAGAAGGCUAUGUUGGCCGGGCGACGGUUGUCCCGGUUUAAGCGUGUAGGUGUGUGUUCCAGGUAAAUCCGGUUCACUUUAACACUGAGGCGUGACGACGAGGCACUACGGUGCUGAAGCAACAAAUGCCCUGCUUCCAGGAAAAGCCUCUAA
rnacentral:rRNA from 1 species